rnacentral:rRNA from 2 species
CGGUCCCAUUCCGAACCCGGAAGCUAAGCCCUCCAGCGCCGAUGGUACUGCACCCGACAGGGUGUGGGAGAGUAGGACACCGCCGAAC